rnacentral:lncRNA from 1 species
UACCCUCUGAUGGGGUUUAUACAAAUAUCUUCGAAAGAUACGAAAAAUAAAUUACAUCAUUCAAAACAAAGGUUUCGAUACAAAAGCUUCGACAGUUGCAGAUCGUUGGUGCGUUGCUUUUGCUUUUGCUUUUGCUUUGCUUUUGUUUCUCCCACUCCAUUUCUUUGCCCACCCAUGUUCCCCAUCCCUGUCUGAUGCAAUCCUUUAGGCGCAAUUUUUUAUAAUCUCCAAAUCCUUAAAGUAAGAUCAUCACUGCAGGUAAUCAUUUUGUCUCUAUUUUGUUGUCAUGCAUGUGCAGACACGCCGAAAGAUUAAAGGGAAAAAGCAAAUAAUAACAUCCAUC